rnacentral:rRNA from 1 species
GAUGAACGCUGGCGGCGUGCCUAAUACAUGCAAGUCGAGCGAACAGACGAGGAGCUUUCUCCUCUGACGUUAUCGGCGGACGGGUGAGUAACACGUGGAUAACCUACCUAUCAGACUGGGAUAACUUCGGGAAACCGUAUCUAAUACCGGAUAAUAUAUUGAACCUCAUUGUUCAAUAGUUAAAGACGGUUUUUCUGUCACUUAUAGAUGGGUCCGCGCCGCAUUAGCUAGUUGGUAAGGUAACAGCUUACCAAGGCAACGAUUCGUAGCCGACCUGAGAGGAGGAGCCGCCACACCGGGACGGAGACACGGCCCAGAAUCCUACGGGAGGGAGCAGAGGGGAAUAGGGGAAAAUGGGCGAAAGCAUGAACCGGCAAUGCCGCGUGAAUGAUGAUGGCCGUAGGGUAGUAAAGCGCUUUGACCCGGGAUGAUAAUGACAGUAACGGAAGAAUAAGCCCCGGCUAACUCCGUG